rnacentral:pre_miRNA from 1 species
GGGGGAAGUGCAGGAUCCUGGGCUGUGUCACACGGCGCCCUGGGUUCCGGGGCCUGGGUCGCUGGAAUCGUGCUCCCGGGGCCGCGCAGCCCCCU